GAUGAACGCUGGCGGCGUGCUUAACACAUGCAAGUCGAACGAAGCACUUUAUUUGAUUUCCUUCGGGACUGAUUAUUUUGUGACUGAGUGGCGGACGGGUGAGUAACGCGUGGGUAACCUGCCUUGUACAGGGGGAUAACAGUUGGAAACGGCUGCUAAUACCGCAUAAGCGCACAGCAUCGCAUGAUGCAGUGUGAAAAACUCCGGUGGUUUAAGAUGGACCCGCGUUGGAUUAGCUAGUUGGUGAGGUAACGGCCCACCAAGGCGACGAUCCAUAGCCGACCUGAGAGGGUGACCGGCCACAUUGGGACUGAGACACGGCCCAAACUCCUACGGGAGGCAGCAGUGGGGAAUAUUGCACAAUGGGCGAAAGCCUGAUGCAGCGACGCCGCGUGAGCGAAGAAGUAUUUCGGUAUGUAAAGCUCUAUCAGCAGGGAAGAUAAUGACGGUACCUGACGAAGAAGCACCGGCUAAAUACGUG
rnacentral:rRNA from 1 species